rnacentral:piRNA from 1 species
UACAGAGUAAAAAAGCCCAAGCUCAGGAC